AUGUCACAAUGUGACACACUUUUUUACCUCUCUGUAGUGAACGAGAGCCCUCUGCCUGUCACAUUCUGGUGGAGAGUGUUUGAAAGCAGUGCCUGCAUCAUUCCUCUCUCCCUCCCCCCCCUCUCUCCAGCCUUCGGACCAGAGGAUGAGAGUAUCCUUCCUCAGGUGCUCCUGUCGUCUGUCCCUGGAUCCAGACACGGCCCACCCCACCCUGUUCCUCUUGGAGGGUCCCCAGGGGGCUCACUGUGGAGAGGAGCCCCAGUCCUACCCCCCACCCCUUGCGCUUCGACUCCGUGGCCCAGGUCCUCUGUAGGGAGGCCAGUUUGGAGGGGCCAGCACUGGGAGGUGGAGUGGAGGGGAGGAGGGUGGGUGGACAUUGGGGGUGACGUACAAAGGGAUCGGACGAAAAGUAGCUGCUUCUAG
rnacentral:lncRNA from 1 species